UGGGGAAUAUUGGACAAUGGGCGAAAGCCUGAUCCAGCCAUGCCGCGUGUGUGAAGAAGGUCUUCGGAUUGUAAAGCACUUUAAGUUGGGAGGAAGGGCAGUAAGCUAAUACCUUGCUGUUUUGACGUUACCGACAGAAUAAGCACCGGCUAACUCUGUGCCAGCAGCCGCGGUAAUACAGAGGGUGCAAGCGUUAAUCGGAAUUACUGGGCGUAAAGCGCGCGUAGGUGGUUUGUUAAGUUGGAUGUGAAAGCCCCGGGCUCAACCUGGGAACUGCAUCCAAAACUGGCAAGCUAGAGUACGGUAGAGGGUGGUGGAAUUUCCUGUGUAGCGGUGAAAUGCGUAGAUAUAGGAAGGAACACCAGUGGCGAAGGCGACCACCUGGACUGAUACUGACACUGAGGUGCGAAAGCGUGGGGAGCAAACAGGAUUAGAUACCCCUGUAGUCCCUGAGCGGGCUGGCAAGGCGCAU
rnacentral:rRNA from 1 species